UCCCGUGUGGCUCAGUUGGUAGAGCAUGGUGUUUGUAACGCCAGGGUUGUGGGUUCGAUUCCCACAGGGGACCAGUAUGGGAA